UCACCACGAGGUAUUGUGUCCAUCUC
rnacentral:piRNA from 1 species